GGAGGCAGAACCCAGAGGGGAAAUCCAAGAGGGGAAAGAGAGCUCCCACUACAUGGGAGGGGAUUCCACAGAGCUGGAAAUCCAGUGUGGGUGAAGAAGCAGGGGAAUUUAUCCUGGGAGAAAUUCCCAUCUUCCCAAGUUCCUCUGGCCAAUGAAAGGAGUUCCUUUAAACUUC